rnacentral:rRNA from 1 species
GACGAACGCUGGCGGCGUGCUUAACACAUGCCAGUCGAGCGGAAAGGCCCUGCUUUUGUGGGGUGCUCGAGUGGCGAACGGGUGAGUAACACGUGAGUAGCCUGCCCUUGACUUUGGGAUAACUUCAGGAAACUGGGGCUAAUACCGGAUAGGAGCUCCUGCUGCAUGGUGGGGGUUGGAAAGUUUCGGCGGUUGGGGAUGGACUCGCGGCUUAUCAGCUUGUUGGUGGGGUAGUGGCUUACCAAGGCUUUGACGGGUAGCCGGCCUGAGAGGGUGACCGGCCACAUUGGGACUGAGAUACGGCCCAGACUCCUACGGGAGGCAGCAGUGGGGAAUAUUGCACAAUGGGCGGAAGCCUGAUGCAGCAACGCCGCGUGCGGGAUGACGGCCUUCGGGUUGUAAACCGCUUUCGCCUGUGACGAAGCGUGAGUGACGGUAAUGGGUAAAGAAGCACCGGCUAACUACGUG